rnacentral:tRNA from 1 species
AGAGAUGGCUCAGUGGUUAAGAGCACUGACCGCUCUCUAGAGAGCCUGGGUUCAAUCCCCAGCACCUCUA